AGUGAACGCUGGCGGUAGGCCUAACACAUGCAGGUCGAACGGCAGCACAGUAAGAGCUUGCUCUUACGGGUGGCGAGUGGCGGACGGGUGAGGAAUACAUCGGAAUCUACUUUUUCGUGGGGGAUAACGUAGGGAAACUUACGCUAAUACCGCAUACGACCUACGGGUGAAAGCAGGGGAUCUUCGGACCUUGCGCGAUUGAAUGAGCCGAUGUCGGAUUAGCUAGUUGGCGGGGUAAAGGCCCACCAAGGCGACGAUCCGUAGCUGGUCUGAGAGGAUGAUCAGCCACACUGGAACUGAGACACGGUCCAGACUCCUACGGGAGGCAGCAGUGGGGAAUAUUGGACAAUGGGCGAAAGCCUGAUCCAGCCAUACCGCGUGGGUGAAGAAGGCCUUCGGGUUGUAAAGCCCUUUUGUUGGGAAAGAAAAGCAGCAGGUUAAUACCCCGCUGUUCUGACGGUACCCAAAGAAUAAGCACCGGCUAACUUCGUG
rnacentral:rRNA from 1 species